CAAGAAAUAGUUUAAUUAAAAUUAUGGCUUUGGAAGCUAUAGAUGAGGUAACUCUUUCUUGA
rnacentral:tRNA from 1 species